UAAAAUCUUUCCUUUUUAUACGACCGCAAAUUUUGAAAAAAUUUUCGUCGUAUAUUGCUAUCACGUUGGCGUCGUCGUCGUCGUCGUCGUCCGGCGUCCGAAUACUUUUAGUUUUCGCACUCUAACUUUAGUAAAAGUGAAUGGAAAUCUAUGAAAUUUUAACACAAGGUUUAUGACCACAAAAGGAAGGUUGGUAAUGAUUUUGGGAGUUUUGGUCCCAACAUUUUAGGAAUUAGGGGCCAAAAAGGGCCCAAAUAAGCAUUUUCUUGGUUUUCGCACUAUAACUUUAGUUUAAGUUAAUAGAAAUCUAUGAAAUUUUGACACAAGGUUUAUGACCAC
rnacentral:lncRNA from 1 species